UACAGAGGUCUCAAGCGUUGUUCGGAUUCAUUGGGCGUAAAGGGUGCGUAGGCGGCGCGGUAAGUCGGAUGUGAAAUCUCGGAGCUUAACUCCGAAACUGCAUUCGAUACUGCCGUGCUUGAGGACUGGAGAGGAGACUGGAAUUUACGGUGUAGCGGUGAAAUGCGUAGAUAUCUGGAGGAACACCGGUGGCGAAGGCGGCAUCCUGGACCAACACUGACGCUGAGGAGCGAAAGCCAGGGGAGCAAACGGG
rnacentral:rRNA from 1 species